rnacentral:rRNA from 1 species
CCUAAGGUAGCGAAAUUCCUUGUCGGGUAAGUUCCGACCUGCACGAAUGGCGUAAUGAUGGCCAGGCUGUCUCCACCCGAGACUCAGUGAAAUUGAACUCGCUGUGAAGAUGCAGUGUACCCGCGGCAAGACGGAAAGACCCCGUGAACCUUUACUAUAGCUUGACACUGAACACUGGUCCUUGAUGUGUAGGAUAGGUGGGAGGCUUUGAAGCGUGGACGCCAGUCUGCGUGGAGCCGCCCUUGAAAUACCACCCUUUAAUGGCUGGUGUUCUAACGUAGACCCGUAAUCCGGGUUGCGGACAGUGUCUGGUGGGUAGUUUGACUGGGGCGGUCUCCUCCCAAAGAGUAACGGAGGAGCACGAAGGUUGGCUAAUCCUGGUCGGACAUCAGGAGGUUAGUGCAAUGGCAUAAGCCAGCUUGACUGCGAGCGUGACGGCGCGAGCAGGUGCGAAAGCAGGUCAUAGUGAUCCGGUGGUUCUGAAUGGAAGGGCCAUCGCUCAACGGAUAAAAGGUACUCCGGGGAUAACAGGCUGAUACCGCCCAAGAGUUCAUAUCGACGGCGGUGUUUGGCACCUCGAUGUCGGCUCAUCACAUCCUGGGGCUGAAGUAGGUCCCAAGGGUAUGGCUGUUCGCCAUUUAAAGUGGUACGCGAGCUGGGUUUAGAACGUCGUGAGACAGUUCGGUCCCUAUCUGCCGUGGGCGCUGGAGAAUUGAGGGGGGCUGCUCCUAGUACGAGAGGACCGGAGUGGACGCAUCACUGGUGUUCGGGUUGUCAUGCCAAUGGCACUGCCCGGUAGCUAAAUGCGGAAGAGAUAAGUGCUGAAAGCAUCUAAGCACGAAACUUGCCCCGAGAUGAGUUCUCCCUGAGACUUUAAGUCUCCUGAAGGAACGUUGAAGACGACGACGUUGAUAGGUCGGGUGUGUAAGCGCAGCGAUGCGUUGAGCUAACCGAUACUAAUGAACCGUGAGGCUUAACCUU